rnacentral:rRNA from 2 species
UGUGUGAAACAGAUCUCAAUAUGUGUGGUGAACCCUAUCUAGAGCUAUAUAUGCGAGAGAGAGAGAUAGCGCACGUAUACCGAGAGAAAGAGGUGAAGCGCAUUUUAAAAAGAGAGAUACACUGUACGAGAAAGUGGAGAGAGAGACGCGCGAGAUCUCACUCAUGUUCUCCGAGUCUCCCCCGUGCUUUUGCUUGGUGCAUUUUCCGGAUGACGGGUCAGCAUCGAUUUUGACCGUCGGAAAAGGGCUGGAGUAAUGUGGCACCUUUAUGGUGUGUUAUAGACUCUAGUCGUAUACGGCGGUUGAGAUCGAGGAACGCAGCGCGCCGCAAGGCAGGGGUUCGCCCACUUUCGCGCUUAGGAUGCUGGCAUAAUGGCUUUAAACGACCCGUCUUGAAACACGGACCAAGGAGUCUAACAUACCUGCGAGUGUUUGGGUGGAAAACCCGAGCGCGCAAUGAAAGUGAAAGUUGAGACCUCUGUCAUGGAGGGCAUCGACGCCCGGACCUGACGUUCUCUGAUGGAUCCGCGGUAGAGCAUGUAUGUUGGGACCCGAAAGAUGGUGAACUAUGCCUGAAUAGGGUGAAGCCAGAGGAAACUCUGGUGGAGGCUCGUAGCGAUUCUGACGUGCAAAUCGAUCGUCAAAUUUGGGUAUAGGGGCGAAAGAC